CAGCCGCCGCGGGAAUACGUAGGGUGCAAGCGUUACUCGGAAUUACUGGGCGUAAAGCGUGCGUAGGUGGUGGUUUAAGUCCGUUGUGAAAGCCCUGGGCUCAACCUGGGAAUUGCAGUGGAUACUGGGUCACUAGAGUGUGGUAGAGGAUAGUGGAAUUUCCGGUGUAGCGGUGAAAUGCGUAGAGAUCUGGAGGAAUACCGAUGGCGAAGGCAGCCAUCUGGCCUAAUACUGACGCUGAGGUACGAAAGCAUGGGGAGCAAACAGGAUUAGAUACCCGCGUAGUCCCUGUCUCUUAUAC
rnacentral:rRNA from 1 species